GCAAACUUGGUCAUUUAGAGGAAGUAAAAGUCGUAACAAGGUUUCCGUAGGUGAACCUGCGGAAGGAUCAUUAUUAAUAUCAUGGGGUUUUCACCUCUAAAAAAAUCCACAUUCACUCUUUGUGCAUUGUUGUAAAAAAUCGAUUGACAGAAAUGACAAUCGGUUAUAUCUACGCCUAUGAUUUUUUUUUUCUGAAAAUAAAAAAAAAUUACAAAAAAAUUCUUGUAAUAUAGAAUUUAAAAUAAAACAACUUUCAACAACGGAUCUCUUGGCUCUCGCAUCGAUGAAGAACGCAGC
rnacentral:misc_RNA from 1 species